GCCAGCAUGGUUUAGUGGCUAGAGUGUUGGACUAGGACACUGGAGACCCAGGUUUGAAUCCCUGAUCUGCCA